rnacentral:rRNA from 1 species
UAGGGAAUCUUCCACAAUGGACGAAAGUACUGAUGGAGCAACGCCGCGUGAGUGAAGAAGGGUUUCGGCUCGUAAAACUCUGUUGUUAAAGAAGAACAUAUCUGAGAGUAACUGUUCAGGUAUUGACGGUAUUUAACCAGAAAGUCACGGCUAACUACGUGCCAG